UUUCAAGUUUAUGAUAGCCUAUAGAGGAGGGCCCAGAAAAUAUGCGCUUCCCCAAAACAUGACUACCUAUCUGGAGUUUCUAAUAUGAGAAAAUUAGCUGCUUGCUUGUAGGAAUGUGUAUCUUUCACUUCUCUUUUACCUUGUCUAAUGAGAUCUGUCCAAAGUGAUCAGCAUGCAACCUUCUUGUGCAGAUUUGUCAAGAAUAUUUUGUAAAUCAGCAAAUUUCUGACCGAUGUGAACUAUGUACACAUUUUUACAUAUUCUAUUGGUAUUAGUGGACAGACUAAAAAUCAGGGACAUAGUUCUAAGCUAAGAGAUUGCAUUCUUCUGAAGAAAAAAAAAACUCUGCAUCUCCUCUACAUUGCUAUAAAUAAUGAGAGAGAAGAAAGGAAACAUAAAUCAAAGAUAUUUAAAUAACCUGGAUAUGGGCCUCGCCAGAAGACUCUAAAAUGCAUCUGUGGUCACAAGAACAAUUUACAUCCCAUGUUUGUUGGACUGCAUAACACAUCACUAGACAUCAGGAAAAGCUUGUGAUUGAACUGAAUGCAGCGAUGGACUUUUCAAAAUUGUUUUUCCAGGAUCCCAAGAAAAGAAUUCUAAAAACUAAACCUACUAUAAAAAACAAUAAUCUAUUUUAAGUCUACUUUAAACCAUUACAUGGAAGGAAUACAGUACAGUGGAUAUAAGGAGCGCUUUUCAACUAGCCACCAGUAAUAUGUCAAUAAUACCUAAUAAAUACAGAAGAUUCAAACAGA